rnacentral:ncRNA from 3 species
AGAAGGAAUUGGCAAUUUAUGGCUUGAGAUUUGCUUUACUCAUUGAUUACACUUCGCGCUUUCCGGGCACAAAUGUCGCUGCCUGUCAAUAUCGCCGAAUGCCCUCUUCGGUGCU